rnacentral:rRNA from 1 species
UACAGGGGGUGCAAACGUUGCUCGGAAUCAUUGGGCGUAAAGCGCACGUAGGCGGUCUGUUAUGUCGGAUGUGAAAGCCCUCGGCUCAACUGAGGAAGUGCAUCCGAAACUGGCAGGCUAGAGUACUAAAGAGGGUCGCGGAAUUCCCGGUGUAGAGGUGAAAUUCGUAGAUAUCGGGGAGGAACACCGGUGGCGAAGGCGGCGACCUGGGUCGAUACUGACGCUGAGGUGCGAAAGCGUGGGGAGCAAACAGG